rfam:West Nile virus isolate WNV-1/TS/BID-V4104/2005, complete genome
AGAAAGUCAGGCCGGGAAGUUCCCGCCACCGGAAGUUGAGUAGACGGUGCUGCCUGCGACUCAACCCCAGGAGGACUGGGU